rnacentral:rRNA from 1 species
AUUGAACGCUGGCGGCAGGCCUAACACAUGCAAGUCGAGCGGAUGAAGGGAGCUUGCUCCUGGAUUCAGCGUCGGACGGGUGAGUAAUGCCUAUGAAUCUGCCUGGUAGUGGGGGAUAACGUCCUGAAACGGGCGCUAAUACCGCAUACGUCCUGAGGGAGAAAGUUGGGGAUCUUCGGACCUCACGCUAUCAGAUGAGCCUAGGUCGGAUUAGCUAGUUGGUGGGGUAAAGGCCUACCAAGGCGACGAUCCGUAACUGGUCUGAGAGGAUGAUCAGUCACACUGGAACUGAGACACGGUCCAGACUCCUACGGGAGGCAGCAGUGGGGAAUAUUGGACAAUGGGCGAAAGCCUGAUACAGCCAUGCCGAGUGUGUGAAGAAGGUCUUCGGAUUGUAAAGAACUUUAGGUUGGGAGGAAGGGCAGUAAGUUAAUACCUUGCUGUUUUGACGUUACCAACAGAAUAAGCACCGGCUAACUUCGUG